GAUCUGCUCGUGCGCGUUGAAUGGUUCUGUCCAACAGAUGGGCGUGGCGGUUCGAUCCUCGGGUCCGAUGCCUCUUUUCCCUCCAGGUGCGCGGUGUCCUCAGUCCUGGUCCGCAGGGUUCUGCAGCUGCAAAUCUAGGUUCCGACCUUCUCCGAGAGACCUACGACGCUGCCUGCGUCCGGGGGCAGCUGGAGAUCGGGGCAGGUUCCAGGGCUCACAGUGGGACGAAACGGGGGAGCCCAGUGGUAGCGGGGGAUGGGCAGGAGUUAGCAAUGGCACGUGGCGGCCAGAAGAAGUCCGUGUGACUGAGCGAGGCUGCAGAUGCAGGGGCCUCAUGUCCCAAGUGUCUGAUGUCUGGAGCCAUUUUCAAUCAAGAUGAGCUUCCUGCUGUCUAAGCUGACCAGUAAAAAGGAAGUGGAUCAGGCAAUAAAAAGUGUAGCAGAGAAAGUUUUGGUUCUUCGAUUUGGCAAAGAUGAUGAUCCUGUUUGUCUGCAAUUGGAUGAUAUUCUUGCAAAGACAUCUCAUGACUUAAGUAAAAUGGCAGCCAUUUACUUGGUGGAUGUGAACAAGGUGCCAGUGUACACCCAGUAUUUUGACAUCAGUUAUAUUCCAUCUACUGUCUUUUUCUUCAAUGGACAGCACAUGAAAGUGGAUUAUGGGUCUCCAGAUCACACUAAAUUUGUGGGAAGCUUUAAAACAAAGCAAGACUUCAUAGAUUUGAUUGAAGUGAUUUAUCGUGGAGCAAUGCGUGGAAAGCUCAUUGUACGAAGUCCUAUUGAUCCAAAAAAUAUUCCAAAAUAUGACCUUCUCUAUCAAGGAAUUUAAAAUAUUGAUUUGAGAUGAGCAAAACUUGUGAAUUCAUCUUGAAGAUCAUAUUGGUCACCCUUUGAAGACAGACAUUCUGUCACUUUCUUAUAAAUAAAGAUUCAAUGAGUUUGCACAAUCUGACUAUGGAGGUGUGAAGAGCUCUUUCUCUACUCCCAACCCCAGUUUGAAAUGAGACUGCCGAGGAAAGGGGAGAAUCGGUAACUACACUGCAGUAUUUCCACAGCAAUCAUUCAGUCUGAAAAGGAGUUAAAUGAGGCCAAAUUAAUUACUAGAGUAAUCUCACUGGUUUCAUUGGAGUGACACUGAUAAUAAAUUUGGUCCACUAUAUAUUAUGUUUAGACUAUCUCAUUUCUCUGACUGGAGGAAGGUGGUAAUGUAUGGUUCAGUGAAGAAUCUUUAGAUGACAGACUAGUGUCUAAAGGGAAGCGGUAGAAGCCCCUAUGCUUGAGACAUCCAAAACAAAACUGGAAAAAAUAUUGGGGAAUAUAUAAGGAACUACUGGGCACUGCCAGGUGAGUGGAUAGGCUAAUGUUAGAUUUGUGGAGUCUUUAGCAUUAAUCUCAUAUGCCAGAUUGCCCUUUACAGUGAAAUUUAUAGUUUUUUUGCUGACAAAAUCUACUUAGCUUAGAUAUGCACAAACUUCACAACAUAAGCUUCCAGAAUCAACACAGGUAAACUCUGGCUCACCUUAACACCGUUACUAUAUACCAUUUUAAAGUGCAGGAAUAACAGCAGAGCUCAAGUUUAAAGCUCCCAUGAAUUAUUUUUUUGAAAUUGCAAGAAU